rnacentral:misc_RNA from 10 species
CUAAGGAAACAAUUAUCAUCUUCAGUUUUGAGAGACUUAAGAAAGUUUUUCAUUGUAACUUGCUUGCAAAUUGUAUUUGCAACAUUUUAAUCUUUUUAAGAUUAAGGGCCUAUAGCUCAGUUGGUUAGAGCACACGCCUGAUAAGCGUGAGGUCGGUGGUUCAAGUCCAUUUAGGCCCACCAUAACCACAAAUAGGCAAAAUCUUAAAAAAGCUCUUUGAAAAGUAGAUAAACGAAGGUUAAAAAAUC